GGAAUCUUGCGCAAUGGGCGAAAGCCUGACGCAGCAACGCCGCGUGUGGGAUGAAGGCCUUCGGGUUGUAAACCACUUUCAGGAGGGAAGAAAUUGACGGUACCUCCAAAAGAAGCCCAGGCCCACUACGUGCCAGCAGCCGCGGUCAUACGUAGGGGGCGAGCGUUAACCGGACUCAUUGGGCGUAAAGAGCUCGUAGGCGGUUCAGCAAGUCGGCUGUGAAAGUCCGAGGCUCAACCUCGGAACUGCAGUCGAUACUGCUGUGACUAGAGUCUGGUAGAGGAGAAUGGAAUUCCCGGUGUAGCGGUGGAAUGCGCAGAUAUCGGGAGGAACACCAGUAGCGAAGGCGGUUCUCUGGGCCUGUACUGACGCUGAGGAGCGAAAGCGUGGGGAGCAAGC
rnacentral:rRNA from 1 species